GACGAACGCUGGCGGCGUGCUUAACACAUGCAAGUCGAGCGGAAAGGCCCUUCGGGGUACUCGAGCGGCGAACGGGUGAGUAACACGUGAGUAAUCUGCCCUUGGCUUUGGGAUAACUACCGGAAACGGUGGCUAAUACCGGAUACGACAACCGUCUGCAUGGGCUGGUUGUGGAAAGUUUUUUCGGCCAGGGAUGUGCUCGCGGCCUAUCAGCUUGUUGGUGGGGUAAUGGCCUACCAAGGCUUCGACGGGUAGCCGGCCUGAGAGGGUGACCGGCCACACUGGGACUGAGACACGGCCCAGACUCCUACGGGAGGCAGCAGUGGGGAAUAUUGGACAAUGGGCGGAAGCCUGAUCCAGCAACGCCGCGUGAGGGAUGACGGCCUUCGGGUUGUAAACCUCUUUCAGUACCGACGAAGCGCCGAUGAUGGUGGUGACGGGAGGUACAGAAGAAGCACCGGCCAACUACGU
rnacentral:rRNA from 1 species